rnacentral:rRNA from 1 species
GACGAACGCUGGCGGCGUGCUUAACACAUGCAAGUCGAACGGUGAAGCUCCAGCUUGCUGGAGUGGAUCAGUGGCGAACGGGUGAGUAACACGUGAGCAACCUGCCCCUGACUCUGGAAUAAGCGCUGGAAACGGCGUCUAAUACUGGAUACGAGAAGGGUCCGCAUGGGCACUUUCUGGAAAGUUUUUCGGUUGGGGAUGGGCUCGCGGCCUAUCAGCUUGUUGGUGAGGUAAUGGCUCACCAAGGCGACGACGGGUAGCCGGCCUGAGAGGGCGACCGGCCACACGGGGACUGAGACACGGCCCAGACUCCUACGGGAGGCAGCAGUGGGGAAUAUUGCACAAGGGGCGAAAGCCUGAUGCAGCGACGCCGCGUGAGGGAUGACGGCCUUCGGGUUGUAAACCUCUUCAGCAGGGAAGAAGCGAAAGUGACGGUACCUGCAGAAGAAGCACCGGCUAACUACGUG